GCGGUUGUGGCGGAACGGCAGACGCACCAUCUUGAGGGGGUGGCGGGGAGACUCGUGUGGGUUCAAAUCCCACCAACCGCACCA
rnacentral:tRNA from 1 species